GAUGAACGCUGGCGGCGUGCCUAAUACAUGCAAGUCGAGCGAACAGACGAGGAGCUUGCUCCUCUGACGUUAGCGGCGGACGGGUGAGUAACACGUGGAUAACCUACCUAUAAGACUGGGAUAACUUCGGGAAACCGGAGCUAAUACCGGAUAAUAUAUUGAACCGCAUGGUUCAAUAGUGAAAGACGGUUUUGCUGUCACUUAUAGAUGGAUCCGCGCCGCAUUAGCUAGUUGGUAAGGUAACGGCUUACCAAGGCAACGAUGCGUAGCCGACCUGAGAGGGUGGUCAGCCACACUGGAACGGAGACACGUUCCUGACGCCUACGGGAGGCAGCAGUAGGGAAUUUUCCGCAAUGGGCGAAAGCCUGACGGAGCAACGCCGCGUGAGUGAUGAAGGUCUUCGGAUCGUAAAACUCUGUUAUUAGGGAAGAACAAAUGUGUAAGUAACUAUGCACGUCUUGACGGUACCUAAUCAGAAAGCCACGGCUAACUACGUG
rnacentral:rRNA from 1 species